rfam:Prunus persica cultivar Lovell chromosome G1, whole genome shotgun sequence.
GGGUUCAUUCCAUUUUUUUAUACAAUGAAAUCACGGCCGAGAAAAGAACAGAAGAUUCUUUCUGACUCUCUCUCUCUCCUCUCUGCCGUGUUUCUUUGUAUAAAGAGAUGUACUGGACCC